GGUUCAACAUGCGUAUCGAGAAGGGUUAUUUCUGUUCCGGGCCCAUCUACCCUGGCCAGGGCAUGAUGUUUGUACGCAACGAUUGCAAGGUGUUCAGAUUUUGUAAAUCUGCAUGUCAUACAAACUUUAAAAAGAAGCGCAAUCCUUGCAAAGUUAGGUGGACCAAAGCAUUCCGGAAAGCAGCUGGUAAAGAGCUUACAGUGGAUAAUUCAUUUGAAUUUGAAAAGCGUAGAAAUGAACCUACCAAAUACCAGUGAGAGCUAUGGAAUAAACUAUCUAUCGAUGCAAUGAAGAGAGUUGAAGAGAUCAAACAGAAACGCCAAACUAAAUUUAUAAUGAACAGACUGAAGAAAAAUAAAGAGCUACAGAAAGUUCAGGAUAUCGAAGAAGUCAAGCAAAACAUCCAACUUAUCUGAGCCCCUCUUGCAGGCAAAGGGAAGCAUUUGGAAGAGAAAAUGGUACAGCAGUUGCAAGAGGAUGUGGAUAUGGAAGACGCUUCUUUAAAAUCUCUGUAACCAUUUCUUUUAUGUGCAUUUGAAAAUGCCCUUUGGAAACUUGGAACUGCUAAAUUAUUAGUGUAUUUUUUACAUAAGGUCACUUAAAUGAAAAAUGAUUAAAAUAUACCUUUUCUGCACUGCCAUCUAUAAAACAUCAGAUAUUACUGAUGUUACAUUGCCAUCUCAGUGUUAAAUCUUCACUGACAGAUGUACUUACGUAAAUCAUGAAAAUUCUGCUUAUAACUACAGAAGUGAAUUGUGGAUGUAAAAUGCUUAUUCCAUUUGGACAAUGGCACAGGGCAGCCUUUGUAUAAUAAGUAAGGCAAAAAUUCAUGGUUAGUGAUGUAUAAAAUAAAAUAUCCUUUGCAGUAAAAUAUUCCCUUUAUUAAUGUUAUAGAAGGGGGGGAUAUGACAAGGAAGUAACAAUUUGUAUGACAGUGUCAAAUACUAUUUGAUUUCAGUAUUUCCUGUUUUGGUUUAUUUGUAUCUCAGAAGAGCAUAAUGAUAUUGUUUGAUGAAGCCUAAUUGUGCUGGACUGUUCUGACCUGGUUUAACCCUUCUGAUAGGUAGUUUUGGAUGUUGGGGAGGAGAACUGAGUAAUCUUUGCCUGGAGUGACACUACACUCUACAAUUUCCACUUUGGAGAAUACUCAGUUUCAACUUGUGAUUCCUGGUAGAACAAACUUUAUUCUUCUAGCCUACCAAUGAUCUAGAAGCAGAGGAAUCCCAAUGCCUUUUAAAAGUAACUUGGUUUUCUUUUAAAAAGCUCCUGUUUUUGGAAAGUAGAAUUUAUGGGUACAACAUCUGUUCAUUAUUUGCACAUAAAAUAAAACCAUUUAAAAAGUAAAAA